rnacentral:rRNA from 1 species
GACGAACGCUGGCGGCGUGCUUAACACAUGCAAGUCGAGCGGUAAGGCCCUUUCGGGGGUACACGAGCGGCGAACGGGUGAGUAACACGUGGGUGACCUGCCCUCAGCUCUGGGAUAAGCCUGGGAAACCGGGUCUAAUACUGGAUAUGACUCCAUGACGCAUGUUGUGGGGUGGAAAGCCUUGUGCGGCUGAGGAUGGGCCCGCGGCCUAUCAGCUUGUUGGUGGGGUGANGGCCUACCAAGGCGACGACGGGUAGCCGGCCUGAGAGGGCGACCGGCCACACUGGGACUGAGACACGGCCCAGACUCCGUACGGGAGGCAGCAGUGGGGAAUAUUGGACAAUGGGCGCAAGCCUGAUCCAGCCAUGCCGCGUGAGUGAUGAA